GCACCAAUCUUUCCCAUUCCUUACUGUGCAGUGUGGGCCUUGGGGAUACAUGGUGCUUACAGCAAAGCAGAGCAAAUCCAGACAGGUGCCUUUGCCUGCACUGCACACCUGUCCCUACACCUCUGCGACAGCC
rnacentral:snoRNA from 1 species